GAUGAACGCUGGCGGCGCGCCUAACACAUGCAAGUCGAACGGUUAAAGCACCUUUUAGGUGUGUAUAAAGUGGCGAACGGCUGAGUAACACGUGGGCAACCUGCCCUCCUCUUGGGGAUAGCCUCGGGAAACCGAGGAUAAUACCCGAUACUUCAAUGUGGCCGCAUGACGACAUUGAGAAAGCUUUUGCGGAGAAGGAUGGGCCCGCGGCCUGUUAGCUUGUUGGUGGGGUAGAGGCCUACCAAGGCAAUGAUGGGUAGCUGGGUUGAGAGACCGACCAGCCAGAUUGGGACUGAGACACGGCCCAGACUCCUACGGGAGGCAGCAGUGGGGAAUCUUGCACAAUGGGCGAAAGCCUGAUGCAGCGACGCCGCGUGCGGGAAGAAGGCCUUCGGGUUGUAAACCGCUUUCAGCGGGGACGAGGCGAAAGUGACGGUACCUGCAGAAGAAGCCCCGGCUAACUACGUGCCAGCAGCCGCGGUAAUACGUAGGGGGCAAGCGUUAUCCGGAUUCAUUGGGCGUAAAGCGCUCGUAGGCGGUCUGUUAGGUCGGGAGUUAAAUCCGGAGGCUCAACCUCCGCCCGCUCCCGAUACCGGCAGACUUGAGUUUGGUAGGGGAAGGUGGAAUUCCUAGUGUAGCGGUGGAAUGCGCAGAUAUUAGGAAGAACACCAGUGGCGAAGGCGGCCUUCUGGGCCAUAACUGACGCUGAGGAGCGAAAGCUAGGGGAGCAAACAGG
rnacentral:rRNA from 1 species